UACGUAGGGUGCAAGCGUUGUCCGGAAUUAUUGGGCGUAAAGAGCUCGUAGGCGGUCUGUCGCGUCGGCUGUGAAAACCCGGGGCUCAACCUCGGGCCUGCAGUCGAUACGGGCAGACUAGAGUGCGGUAGGGGAGACUGGAAUUCCUGGUGUAGCGGUGAAAUGCGCAGAUAUCAGGAGGAACACCGGUGGCGAAGGCGGGUCUCUGGGCCGUAACUGACGCUGAGGAGCGAAAGCGUGGGGAGCGAACAGG
rnacentral:rRNA from 1 species